rnacentral:miRNA from 1 species
CCCGCUGUGGGUCUCACUCCACU